GGUGUAAUUUGAAACUAAUCGCCUGAUUACCAUCUCUUUUAAAUUUGAAACAAUGUGCUUCAAAGGCCCCGUGAUAAGAGUAAUUACUUUCAAUUUGUUUUCAGCAGAAAAUUUGAUUAGAAGCCUACAACUGGGCAUGUAAGAAGUGCUGACAUUUCUGAUGGUCUUAUAUGUACAUCUGUUAAAUAAUUCUGAUAAAAUAUGGAUGGAAUAUCUCUCAGUUGUGUGGAGGUAUAUUUCUCAACAGCACCUAUAUUUAAGGAUCUAUAUAGAGAAAUCUUACAAGACGAGAUCUUCAGCAAAGAAGUCAGAAAAAGAUCAGUGACUAGCUAUAGCUUUCAGUGUAAAAAAAAAUGAGUUGCUGUUUUUAUGUAACUAGUGAUUCCAGAAUAAAAGACAUUAGCAUUUAAAUACAGUAUUCUAAAGUUUGCUUUUUGUAUAAUCAUGCGUAAUUAAUCGAAUCUAGCUGCGUUGACUAAGUAAAUACACAUGCAAUAUCGAAAUAAAUCAAUGUGAAUGUUCAUGCAAAAUAAAUUUGAUAU